CGUUUAAAAGUUAUAUACGGCUACGGAAUCGGGUGCGAAUCCCGAGCAACCGCCAUUACCGUGUUGGAUGAAUUUUUCGCCUAUACCAUUGAAUGAUGCUUGUCAAAGCAAAUUCGAGAAGGUGCGAAAAUGCGCUUUUGCUUUAUCCUGAGUCGGGAGACGGGCCGUAUGUAUGAAUUUAGG
rnacentral:ncRNA from 2 species